AAUACCCUGUCAAACAUACCUUGAAAGUGGAUAGCAAAGCCAAUAGUCUACUGGAUUAAAGAUUCUAAAAAGGCCUACAAAGGAUAAAACAACCUUAAACAACCUAUUACACCAGUCCAGGCAGGACUUUUUAGCAGGGACAGCACAAUCUAAACUUUAACUACGAUACUAACAAAAAAAUGGACAAU